UUGAGGGCUCCACCUCCAUACAUGGGAUUGUUGCCCUUAAGAAAGAGGCUUGAAGGGGCCCUUUUGCCCCUCUGCUGUGUCACAAUGCAGCAACAAGGCCCUAUCUAUGAGGUAGAAAAGGAGCCCUCACCAGACACCAAAUCUGCUAGCACCUUGAUGUUGGAUUUCCCACUUUCCAGAACUGUGAGCAGUAACUAUAUGCUGUUUAUAAAUUACCCAAAGACAGGUAGUGAGCACACUGGAAGAGGAUCCUCAACUCUUAUAAUUAGUCUCCCUCUGUUACCCAGGCUGGAGUGCAGUGGUGUGAUGUUGGCUCACUGCAACCUCUGCCUCUUGGAUUCAAGUGAUUCUUGUGCCUCAGCCUCCCAAGUAGCUGGGACUACAGGUGCGUACCACCAUGCCUGGCCAAUUUUGUAUUUUUAGUAGAAAUGGGAUUUCACCAUGUUGGC
rnacentral:lncRNA from 13 species